rnacentral:rRNA from 1 species
UACGUAGGGUGCAAGCGUUAAUCGGAAUUACUGGGCGUAAAGCGUGCGCAGGCGGUUUUGUAAGACUGUCGUGAAAUCCCCGGGCUUAACCUGGGAAUUGCGAUGGUGACUGCAAGGCUAGAGUUUGGCAGAGGGGGGUAGGAUUCCACGUGUAGCAGUGAAAUGCGUAGAGAUGUGGAGGAACACCGAUGGCGAAGGCAGCCCCCUGGGUCAAAACUGACGCUCAUGCACGAAAGCGUGGGGAGCAAACAGG